AUUGAACGCUGGCGGCAUGCUUUACACAUGCAAGUCGAACGGUAACAGGGGCUUCGGCCCGCUGACGAGUGGCGAACGGGUGAGUAAUGUAUCGGAACGUGCCCAGUAGUGGGGGAUAACUACUCGAAAGAGUAGCUAAUACCGCAUGAGGACUGAGGUUGAAAGCGGGGGAUCUUCGGACCUCGCGCUACUGGAGCGGCUGAUAUCAGAUUAGGUAGUUGGUGAGGUAGAGGCUUACCAAGCCUGCGAUCUGUAGCUGGUCUGAGAGGACGACCAGCCACACUGGGACUGAGACACGGCCCAGACUCCUACGGGAGGCAGCAGUGGGGAAUUUUGGACAAUGGGCGCAAGCCUGAUCCAGCAAUGCCGCGUGCAGGACGAAGGCCUUCGGGUUGUAAACUGCUUUUGUACAGAACGAAAUGUCUCUGGCUAAUACCUGGGGAAGAUGACGGUACUGUAAGAAUAAGCACCGGCUAACUACGUGCCAGCCGCCGCUGUAA
rnacentral:rRNA from 1 species